rnacentral:tRNA from 1 species
GGAGACGUGGGUGAGUGGUUGAAACCACCGCUCUCGAAAAGCGGCAUACUGCAAGGUAUCGGAGGUUCAAAUCCUCCCGUCUCCG